CUAUGGUAAAAUAGUUAUGUUCUUGAAACCCAAAGAAUUUGGCGGUAUUUUAUUCUUUUUUAGAGGAACCUGUCCUGUAAUUGAUAAUCCACGAUGUAGAGUUACUUAUUUUUGUUUCCAUUUUGUAUACCUCCGUCAUCAGAAUAUCUUUUUAGAGAUAACAUUCUAUUAACAUUAAUUGAGAUAUGUCAGGUCAAGGUGCAAUUUAUAAAUAAGUAGAGAUGGGUUACAAUAAAAUUAUUUAUACGAAUUAUAAUUAUUAAUUAAUUAUAUGAAGGUGGAUUUAAAAGUAAAAUUGUUUACUUAUCAAUUUGAUUUAAGCUCUAAAAUAUGCACACAUCGCCCGUCGCUCUUAUUUUAAAAUAAGAUAAGUCGUAACAUAGUAGAUGUACCGGAAGGUGUAUCUAGU
rnacentral:rRNA from 1 species